rnacentral:rRNA from 1 species
AUUGAACGCUGGCGGCAUGCCUUACACAUGCAAGUCGAACGGUAACAGGUCUUCGGAUGCUGACGAGUGGCGAACGGGUGAGUAAUACAUCGGAACGUGCCUAGUAGUGGGGGAUAACUACUCGAAAGAGUGGCUAAUACCGCAUGAGAUCUACGGAUGAAAGCAGGGGAUCGCAAGACCUUGCGCUACUAGAGCGGCCGAUGGCAGAUUAGGUAGUUGGUGGGAUAAAAGCUUACCAAGCCGACGAUCUGUAGCUGGUCUGAGCGGACGAUGAGCCACACUGGGACUGAGACACGGCCCAGACUCCUACGGGAGGCAGCAAUGGGGAAUUUUGGACAAUGGGCGCAAGCCUUAUCCAGCAAUGCCGCGUGCAGGAUGAAGGCCUUCGGGUUGUAAACUGCUUUUGUACGGAACGAAAAGCCCCGGGUUAAUACCCUGGGGUCAUGACGGUACCGUAAGAAUAAGCACCGGCUAACUACGUGCCAGCAGCCGCCGUAA